UACAGAGGUCCCAAGCGUUGUUCGGAUUCACUGGGCGUAAAGGGUGCGUAGGCGGUUUCGUAAGUCGGAUGUGAAAACUCCAGGCUCAACUUGGAGACGCCAUUCGAUACUGCGAUGACUAGAGUCAGGUAGGGGAGAACGGAAUUCCUGGUGUAGCGGUGAAAUGCGCAGAUAUCAGGAGGAACACCGGUGGCGAAGGCGGUUCUCUGGGCCUGUACUGACGCUGAGGAACGAAAGCGUGGGGAGCGAACAGG
rnacentral:rRNA from 1 species